rnacentral:tRNA from 1 species
GUGUCUCUGACCGAGCGGUGAGGUACCGGGUUUCCAUUCUGGCCAGGCGGGUUCGACUCCCGCGAGACACU